AGAGUUUGAUCCUGGCUCAGAAUGAACGCUUGCGGCGUGGAUUAGGCAUGCAAGUCGAACGAGAAAACUCCCUUCGGGGGAUGAGUAAAGUGGCGAACGGGUGAGUAAGGCGUAAAUGAUCUACCCUCAUGACGGGGAUAACAGUUCGAAAGGACUGCUAAUACCGGAUGUGAUCUUUGGCUUGCGGGCUGGAGAUUAAAGAUGGCCUCUGUUUCAAGCUGUCGCAUGAGGAGGAGUUUACGUGCUAUUAGCUUGUUGGUGGGGUAACGGCCCACCAAGGCGAUGAUGGCUAGCCGGCCUGAGAGGGUGUCCGGCCACACUGGGACUGAGACACUGCCCAGACUCCUACGGGAGGCUGCAGUCGAGAAUCUUCCACUAAUGCGGGAAACCGUGAUGGAGCGACGCCGCGUGUGCGAUGAAGGCCUUCGGGUUGUAAAGCACUGUCAGUUAACCCUAAUCCCCUGGGGUGAAUAGCCUUCAGGGUUGAAGUGUUAGCAGAGGAAGCACCGGCUAAAUCCGUGCCAGCAGCCGCGGUAAUACGGAUGGUGCGAGCGUUAUUCGGAAUCACUGGGCAUAAAGGGCACGUAGGCGGCGCCGUAAGUCAGUGGUGAAAUCCCUCGGCUCAACCGAGGAACUGCCAUUGAAACUGCGGUGCUAGAGUGCGGGAGGGGCAGACGGAAUUCCAGGUGGAGCGGUGAAAUGCGUAGAUAUCUGGAGGAACGCCAGGGGCGAAAGCGGUCUGCUGGCCCGCAACUGACGCUGAGGUGCGAAAGCUAGGGGAGCAAACAGGAUUAGAUACCCUGGUAGUCCUAGCCGUAAACGAUGGGCACUAAGCAGGGGGCCUCCCAAGGGUUCCCUGCCGUAGCUAAUGUGUUAAGUGCCCCGCCUGGGGAGUAUGGUCGCAAGGCUAAAACUCAAAGGAAUUGACGGGGGCUCACACAAGCGGUGGAGCAUGUUGUUUAAUUCGAUGCAACGCGAAGAACCUUACCUGGGCUUGACAUGUAAGUGGUACCAAACCGAAAGGGGCGGGACCCUCUUUGAGGGAGCUUACACAGGUAUUGCAUGGCUGUCGUCAGCUCGUGUCGUGAGAUGUCGGGUUAAGUCCCUUAACGAGCGCAACCCUUGUCCUUAGUUGCCAGCGGGUAAAGCCGGGGACUUUAAGGAGACUGCCGGUGUUAAACCGGAGGAAGGCGGGGACGACGUCAAGUCAUCAUGGUCCUUACGCCCAGGGCGACAAACGUGCUACAAUGGCCGGUACAAAGGGAAGCAAGACCGCGAGGUGGAGCAAAUCCCAAAAAGCCGGCCCCAGUUCGGAUUGGAGGCUGAAAUUCGCCUCCAUGAAGUCGGAAUCGCUAGUAAUCGCGGAUCAGCCAUGCCGCGGUGAAUGUGUUCCUGAGCCUUGUACACACCGCCCGUCAAGCCACCCAAAUAGGCCGCACCCGAAGUCGCAGACCCAACCCGUAAGGGAGGGAUGUGCCGAAGGUGAGGUCUGUGAGGGGGACUAAGUCGUAACAAGGUAGCCGUAGGGGAACCUGCGGCUGGAUCACCUCCUU
rnacentral:rRNA from 1 species